ensembl:lncRNA
GCCUGUGCCCCCCUGUUCCACUGGAACGUGAUAGACGUGGGUGAACGUGAUGAGUCCCAGAACACUCCAGUGGGGAACUGCCUAGUGUUGAACACACUGACAGGGGAAACGGUCAACUUCUCCCCCUGCAGAGACAUCAUGACUGAGAAGGUUUUCAAAGUCCUGAAGUACAAUAACGACAGACGAUACUGUGAAGUGGGAUUUAUCUCCGACAUACCAAAGGAGGGAAGGCUCCUUAUUGGUGCCCCCGGAGGCUACUACUUUCAAGGUCAGAUCAUCAGUGCAGGACUGCCUGACAUUGUCAACAGUGCCAAGAGCCCGAAUGCCAAACCUUAUGUGGCUGGACAAACCCAUUCCCCUGAGACUGAUGGAUGCGAUCGUUACCAUGGUAAGAGAGUCCACGCAAGACUUGUGGUCUAAAGCAAUGGUUUUCAUGCCUCUUCUCAGAGACGCCCAGAUGUUUCACAAUUUUGUUGUAGCCCUGAGCUAGCAAACCAAAUUCACCUAAUCAAGGGUUUGAUGAUUGAGCUAGUAAACCAAAUUCACCUAAUCAAGGGUUUGAUGAUUGAGCUAGUAAACCAAAUUCACCUAAUCAAGGGUUUGAUGAUUAGUUGACAAGUUGAAUCAGGUGUGCUACCCCGAGAAGAGGUUUGAGAACCACUGGCCUAAAAUAUUCGGUCCAAUGAUAUUCAGAGACAUUAUCAUUAGUUCAAUCAACCAGAAAGGUUGAUGCAUUACACUGGUUCACCAACAGGUUAUUCUGUGGCCGCUGGUGAGUUUACUGGAGACUCCAUACCAGGUGAGAAAGAAAGUUUCCGUCAAAAGUGUUCACACAACCAGAUAAUUACUAACCUGGUCCCAGUUUGUACUAUCAUUCCAACUCAUUGUCAUGCCAAACAUUGGUUCAUUUUUGCCAUGACAAGGAUUGGAAUGGUAGCACAUUGGGCUACAGAGUGGUGCCCAGGCUAUAAAAUUACACUUCCUACACUUUAUGUGACUGGGUGAGAUAGUGACAGCUGUACAAGAUAGAAAAGGUUGAAACGUUUCUCAAUAAUGAAUGAAUUAAGUCUGUUUUGUGUUUAAAAUCCAGUACAAGUAUGUAUUUUCUGUUUCAGAUUAUGUGGUUGGAGUGCCUAAUGACUGCAACACAGCAGGCUCAGUAGGGGCUCCCGAUGGUGUUUUAAUGUUCAUUUAUUAGAGAGUGAUGUAAGCUAAUGUUUUGGUUUUGUAUCCAGUUCAAAAUCUAUAAUGGAAAUACAAUUGACUUUUUGGGAGUGAAAUACACAUUCUUAGGCUCUCAGGUGAGACUAUUCAUAUUUUAUUUUUAUUUACUUGUUUACAGGAGAGUGAUGAAGAAGUGAUCACUCUGUGACAUGUCUAUACAGAUAGGGCUUUGUGUUGAUAUCUGAGUGAUGAGCAAUGUAAGUCCACUCAAAACCACAUGCAACUUUCAUCUUGCAGGUGGCCUCUUACUUUGGCCACAGCGUUGCAGUAACUGAUAUUUAACAAUGAUGUGUAUGUCAGAACUCUCUUACUUUUUUUUUUUUUUUUGUCCAUAAUCAUUGAAGCAUUAAACAUGAAUCAACCAUCUGAUAACAUCUAAGCCACUGGUCGCCGGCUUGCUGUCUCGAGGAACCAUGAAAAAAAAGAUUGAAUGUCCAGCCAUUCUUGCUCUGUCCUCUGUUUACCACAGACGAGAUGACAUCCUAAUCGGGGCGCCCCUCUUCAUGGAGCGUGUGUCGGACCAGUAGUUGCAGGAGGUGUGCCAGGUGAGUGAAAACCUGAUGAGCCCUGGGUGGUCAAAAUGUUGUCAAAUAAAUCUAUAACAUGUGAUGACAAUAACAAUGUUUUUUUAAAUACCCAGCACUUGCUCCGAGAUAAUGGA